GGGUUGUGAGGUUAAGCGACUAAGCGUACACGGUGGAUGCCCUGGCAGUCAGAGGCGAUGAAGGACGUGCUAAUCUGCGAUAAGCGUCGGUAAGGUGAUAUGAACCGUUAUAACCGGCGAUUUCCGAAUGGGGAAACCCAGUGUGAUUCGUCACACUAUCAUUAACUGAAUCCAUAGGUUAAUGAGGCGAACCGGGGGAACUGAAACAUCUAAGUACCCCGAGGAAAAGAAAUCAACCGAGAUUCCCCCAGUAGCGGCGAGCGAACGGGGAGGAGCCCAGAGCCUGAAUCAGUGUGUGUGUUAGUGGAAGCGUCUGGAAAGGCGCGCGAUACAGGGUGACAGCCCCGUACACAAAAAUGCACAUGCUGUGAGCUCGAUGAGUAGGGCGGGACACGUGGUAUCCUGUCUGAAUAUGGGGGGACCAUCCUCCAAGGCUAAAUACUCCUGACUGACCGAUAGUGAACCAGUACCGUGAGGGAAAGGCGAAAAGAACCCCGGCGAGGGGAGUGAAAAAGAACCUGAAACCGUGUACGUACAAGCAGUGGGAGCACAGAGCAAUCUGUGUGACUGCGUACCUUUUGUAUAAUGGGUCAGCGACUUAUAUUCUGUAGCAAGGUUAACCGAAUAGGGGAGCCGAAGGGAAACCGAGUCUUAACUGGGCGUUAAGUUGCAGGGUAUAGACCCGAAACCCGGUGAUCUAGCCAUGGGCAGGUUGAAGGUUGGGUAACACUAACUGGAGGACCGAACCGACUAAUGUUGAAAAAUUAGCGGAUGACUUGUGGCUGGGGGUGAAAGGCCAAUCAAACCGGGAGAUAGCUGGUUCUCCCCGAAAGCUAUUUAGGUAGCGCCUCGUGAAUUCAUCUCCGGGGGUAGAGCACUGUUUCGGCAAGGGGGUCAUCCCGACUUACCAACCCGAUGCAAACUGCGAAUACCGGAGAAUGUUAUCACGGGAGACACACGGCGGGUGCUAACGUCCGUCGUGAAGAGGGAAACAACCCAGACCGCCAGCUAAGGUCCCAAAGUCAUGGUUAAGUGGGAAACGAUGUGGGAAGGCCCAGACAGCCAGGAUGUUGGCUUAGAAGCAGCCAUCAUUUAAAGAAAGCGUAAUAGCUCACUGGUCGAGUCGGCCUGCGCGGAAGAUGUAACGGGGCUAAACCAUGCACCGAAGCUGCGGCAGCGACGCUGAUGCGUUGUUGGGUAGGGGAGCGUUCUGUAAGCCUGUGAAGGUGUGCUGUGAGGCAUGCUGGAGGUAUCAGAAGUGCGAAUGCUGACAUAAGUAACGAUAAAGCGGGUGAAAAGCCCGCUCGCCGGAAGACCAAGGGUUCCUGUCCAACGUUAAUCGGGGCAGGGUGAGUCGACCCCUAAGGCGAGGCCGAAAGGCGUAGUCGAUGGGAAACAGGUUAAUAUUCCUGUACUUGGUGUUACUGCGAAGGGGGGACGGAGAAGGCUAUGUUGGCCGGGCGACGGUUGUCCCGGUUUAAGCGUGUAGGCUGGUUUUCCAGGCAAAUCCGGAAAACUAAGGCUGAGGCGUGAUGACGAGGCACUACGGUGCUGAAGCAACAAAUGCCCUGCUUCCAGGAAAAGCCUCUAAGCAUCAGGUAACAUCAAAUCGUACCCCAAACCGACACAGGUGGUCAGGUAGAGAAUACCAAGGCGCUUGAGAGAACUCGGGUGAAGGAACUAGGCAAAAUGGUGCCGUAACUUCGGGAGAAGGCACGCUGAUAUGUAGGUGAAGUCCCUCGCGGAUGGAGCUGAAAUCAGUCGAAGAUACCAGCUGGCUGCAACUGUUUAUUAAAAACACAGCACUGUGCAAACACGAAAGUGGACGUAUACGGUGUGACGCCUGCCCGGUGCCGGAAGGUUAAUUGAUGGGGUCAGCGCAAGCGAAGCUCUUGAUCGAAGCCCCGGUAAACGGCGGCCGUAACUAUAACGGUCCUAAGGUAGCGAAAUUCCUUGUCGGGUAAGUUCCGACCUGCACGAAUGGCGUAAUGAUGGCCAGGCUGUCUCCACCCGAGACUCAGUGAAAUUGAACUCGCUGUGAAGAUGCAGUGUACCCGCGGCAAGACGGAAAGACCCCGUGAACCUUUACUAUAGCUUGACACUGAACAUUGAGCCUUGAUGUGUAGGAUAGGUGGGAGGCUUUGAAGUGUGGACGCCAGUCUGCAUGGAGCCGACCUUGAAAUACCACCCUUUAAUGUUUGAUGUUCUAACGUUGACCCGUAAUCCGGGUUGCGGACAGUGUCUGGUGGGUAGUUUGACUGGGGCGGUCUCCUCCUAAAGAGUAACGGAGGAGCACGAAGGUUGGCUAAUCCUGGUCGGACAUCAGGAGGUUAGUGCAAUGGCAUAAGCCAGCUUGACUGCGAGCGUGACGGCGCGAGCAGGUGCGAAAGCAGGUCAUAGUGAUCCGGUGGUUCUGAAUGGAAGGGCCAUCGCUCAACGGAUAAAAGGUACUCCGGGGAUAACAGGCUGAUACCGCCCAAGAGUUCAUAUCGACGGCGGUGUUUGGCACCUCGAUGUCGGCUCAUCACAUCCUGGGGCUGAAGUAGGUCCCAAGGGUAUGGCUGUUCGCCAUUUAAAGUGGUACGCGAGCUGGGUUUAGAACGUCGUGAGACAGUUCGGUCCCUAUCUGCCGUGGGCGCUGGAGAACUGAGGGGGGCUGCUCCUAGUACGAGAGGACCGGAGUGGACGCAUCACUGGUGUUCGGGUUGUCAUGCCAAUGGCACUGCCCGGUAGCUAAAUGCGGAAGAGAUAAGUGCUGAAAGCAUCUAAGCACGAAACUUGCCCCGAGAUGAGUUCUCCCUGACUCCUUGAGAGUCCUGAAGGAACGUUGAAGACGACGACGUUGAUAGGCCGG
rnacentral:rRNA from 24 species